UAGGGAAUCUUCGGCAAUGGACGAAAGUCUGACCGAGCAACGCCGCGUGAGUGAAGAAGGUUUUCGGAUCGUAAAACUCUGUUGUUAGAGAAGAACAAGGACGUUAGUAACUGAACGUCCCCUGACGGUAUCUAACCAGAAAGCCACGGCUAACUACGUGCCAGCAGCCGCGGUAAUACGUAGGUGGCAAGCGUUGUCCUGAUUUAUUGGGCGUAAAGCGAGCGCAGGCGGUUUCUUAAGUCUGAUGUGAAAGCCCCCGGCUCAACCGGGGAGGGUCAUUGGAAACUGGGAGACUUGAGUGCAGAAGAGGAGAGUGGAAUUCCAUGUGUAGCGGUGAAAUGCGUAGAUAUAUGGAGGAACACCAGUGGCGAAGGCGGCUCUCUGGUCUGUAACUGACGCUGAGGCUCGAAAGCGUGGGGAGCAAACAGG
rnacentral:rRNA from 1 species